GCUUAGCUUAGCUUAGCUUAGCUUAGCUUGUCUUAAACUAAGCUAAGCUAAGCUCAGGACUUGCAGGCGAACCCAAUGAGCUCAUUACUUUUAUUAUGUUUAUUGUCGGGCAGAGCAACAGGUUAAGGAGGCAGGAACCAAAGGGAGUCAGAGAGACCAAACCAAGGCGUACUGACGAGGUGAAGACUGGCAGGUGUGCAGGUGAGACAGGUGCAAUGAUUGGGGAGACACCCACACCGAAUUAAGGAAAAGGAAAACAAACCAAAAAAAACAGAACUGAGGGAGAGGUUUGCGCAGUGGACAGACACAAUGGAUUCUAACACUGCGCCUUGUUUGCAAAUGACGGCAGAAUGUCUCACCAUUCCUUCAUUUUCGUAACGGCUAAGCGGAUUUUUGCGCUUUGGUUAAGGUUAACCUCAGUGAUGAUGUGUUUAGUGCUUCAAAAGAUGGACCAGGCUAAAUCGAUGAACCAAUUACAAAUGAAAACACACAAUCUCCUUCUGGGAACCGAAGGGACUAUUUCAAAGAAUGUAAGUAGGGUGAGUGUGUCCCUUGAGCCAUUUUCCACUGGACAAGAGGCUAUAUCACCUGUCCUGUCCACUCAUCAAACAUUGAGGCUGAGCACAGAGCGAAAUGUGCAUUUACCGUUGACGAAGACGUAGAUGGACGCCUGCUCGCCGCUCGUCCUCUCCAGGCAAACAUAGCGGCCCAUGUGAA